UUUCGGUUCGCACCGUCUUCGCGCGAACCGAAAGAUCCAAUUGCCUGCGGCGAGAGUGCACUCAGAGCGCACUAGUUUUCCCAAAGAAAAACGCUAUAAUAGAUAACUUAUUGUAGAAAGCCUUUUAAGUAUAAACUAGGAUAAUGCAUUGCAUUUGUCUGCAUAAUUUUAUAACACAACCUGUAUUUUCUUAACCAUGUGUAUCAGGCUGCGGUUUCACUCGUUCAGGAAAUGUGUUUGAUUGUUGCAAAGUUUAAAUUAACGAUCCGGGCAAUCAAUAAAUACUCCUGGUACGCAGAACAAUAGCCGGGAAUGGGUAUGAAACCGUUGCAAUCUGAUGGUUGAAUAAACCACAUGGGCAAGAUUCAAACAAUGCACGUUAACUCAAAUGAAUCAGAUGGGAACAGAAAAUGUUCCUCCACAAAUGAAUAAAAUGGUGCCUGGACAAAUACAACAAAAUAUGCAGUUUCAGAUGCAGAAUCAGUUACCAGAUCAAAUAUAGUAUCAUAAUACGGGACCAAUAGUCAGUAUACAGACUAGUACACCGCAACAAUUGAGUCAAAUUGACUCUGGACAAUUAGGUCGUGGUCAGAUGCAGCAGCAGUUAAACCAUAUUCAAAGAAAGCUGGGUGAAAUGAUGAAUACUGGAUUUCAUAGCCCACAUAACGUUACGCCGAAUCAAUUUUUGAGACAGAGUCCAUCUCCUUCAGCUCCAAGCUUAGCUCGUUUAUUGGAUACAUUAAACUAUAUGUAUGGACCGUCUCCAAAUAAAUCGUAAAAUAAUCCUGAAAGUGUAGACUCAACACAAAGUCCUCAGCAAGAAAAUCAGGUUUACAGAGAUAAAGUCAAACAGCUAAGCAAAUAAAUAGAGAAGAAUGAUUGUCAAGAUGAGCAGUGAAGGAAAUGUCGACUCGGCAAGAUCAAGAAACUGUUGAAAAUUCUAUCAAGUCCCAAUAAACGUAUGCCAUUGGAUAUAAUGCGAAGUUGUCCUGGAAAAAUUAGACUUCAAGAGAGAAGAUUGUAAUGUAAUAAGUGACGAUGUUGGAGGAACAUCAAAUUUUCAGUCCGCUAUUAGAAGCUGUUAGCGCACAUUUCCAAUAUCUGGUUAACAAUCACACAUUGCAACGCACUUUUGAACCAUGUUUGGUUGCCUUAGCCAGUUUUUCGACUGUUUAUACCAGCAUAUAUAUUAGGUUAUGGAACGAUGUUAGUAAUUGUCUACAAUACAUUACUUGAAAUAAUCUGAGCAUAUCAAAUAUUCUGCUAAAAAUAAUUAAGUAUUGUAUUCAUAUCAAAAUAGUUGAAAUGCCUAGUGUAAACAAAAGUAGUAAGCGGAUUUAAUACGGAUAUAGUAUUUAAGUUGCAUUCUAAAAUUCUCUGAGUGUACUGAAAACUUAUUGUUUACAUUACAUAUAUUUAGUACUCUGAGACUGGUAUUCAUUGUCGAUUUCAAGAUCACCUUAUGUGAUGUAAAGAUGCUAAUAUGGCUCUGACUUGUUGAUAACUUGAUUUCUUUUUAGUAAUAUACAUUAAUUUUAAUUUCAACUUACACUCAAUUGCAUAAUCCAACUUGUUUUCUCAACCAUAAAUUGUGAUAUUUUACAUUAAAAGUUUUAAGAAUUUUAUAGAAACUCUUUUAUUUAUUUAAAUUGAAGAUAUAAUAUGUAACGUACAAAUAUUUUGUUUCACAUAACACUUUUAUGGUGGUUAUUUUAAAUCAAUAAACGAUAACCGCAUUGUAUUAUUGAAAUUAACAAUAUACCAUCACAUAUAAAUAAACUACAUCAAACACAUUUCCUAAACGAGUGAAACCGUAACCUGAUACUCAAGGGCUUUCUACAAUAAGCCAUUAAUCAUUACUCAUAAGCGUAAACCGUAAGAAUUGAUCAAUCACAUUCUAAUGUGAGGAGAAUAUUCGACAACUAAUUGGUCAAUUCUUACGGUUUACGUUUACAACUAAUAGUUAAUGAGUUAUUGUAGAAAGCCCUUAACAUUGAUGCGCGUAUUAAGGGUGCAUUCCAUUAUUCAAUCAGGUUGGUAUUCAUAAUCAAUUCAUUAUUAAGAUUAUCCAAAGUGCAAUCUUAAGAUGUUAUCAACAAAUCAGAGCUGUAUUAGCAUCUUUACAUUACAUAAGGUGAUCUUGAAAUAAGAAUCAACAAUGAAUAUCAGCUUCAGAGUACUGAAUAUACAUAUGUAAUGUAAACGAUAAGUUUUCAGUACACUCAGAAUUUUAGAAUGCAACUUAAAUACUAUAUCCGUAUUAAAUCGCUUAAUACUUCGUUUACACUAGGCAUUUCAACUAUUUUGAUAUAAAUACAAUACUUAAUUAUUUUUAGCAAAAUAUUUGAUAUGCUCAGAUUAUUACAGCGUUUAUUUCCAUGAAAAUUGUGCAUAUCUAUAAAAGGAAGUGCUUCUGCAAUUGAAAGGUCAAGAAUAUGAAUAUGUUUAUUCUUUUUAGCUGAACUGAUUGUUCUAAUCUGCAUUGUUCAGAAUUUAUCUUCCUUCUUUCAACAAGAAGAGAAAAGAAUGAACUGUGAAGUAGUGCAGUCAGUUUAAUUAAAAAAACAGACCUCAUGUGAAAUGUUACAUAGUUUAAUAUUAUAAAGUCUGUUUGCAUCACAAGUCUGUUUAAAUUAAUACAAAGUAAUCUCAAUUCAACUUUCUGUGUUUUUGACAAUAUAAUGCAAUAAAUGCUCUUCAUGACUUGAUUUUUUUUUUUAAAUAGAGACAUCACAUAUGACAAAUAAACAAUUUCAUAAGUAUUAAAAAUAUUGAACAAAACAAAAAAUAACUGACAAGCAUGUAACUAUACAUGGUAAUUUAAUACAACUACGCGUCCUUGCAAAGUCCGUGUUCUUGAUUGAAUUCUGAGACGAUUUUUCCUCUACGAUAUUUUUGUUCGACGCUUACUUUUUGAAUUGUAACAUGAUAAAGUUAGCGUAUUACAGACCGUGAGCAAGAAGUAAGCAGAGGUUCGCUAACUAUACCCUGUUAUCAUUCAAAAAGUAAGCAUCGGACAAAAAUUUCGUAGAGGAAAAAUCGUCUCAAAAUUCAACUAAGAACACGUCUUUACAAGAACGCGUAGUUGUACUGAGUCACCUGCACAACUGGCAAGCAUAUAACUAUCACUGGCAAUAAAAAACUGGCAAAAUUAAAUACGUUUAAUUUUGCCAGUUAUAUAGUUAUGUAUCCAUGUUUUAAUUUGAGCAACAGAUCGAUUAACCAAACACUUAUUUCUAUCUUUUACUUGGACAAUUUUCUUAGCAGAUGGCAAUUGAGAAAUAGCAAUUUCUUUUGCAAAUUCUUUGAAUAUUGUAUUACGUUCUUCUUCUGUCCAAUGUCUUCUUUUUGUUAUGCCAAAUGGAGAUGCUACAAAAUAAAAUAUUAUCAAAAUUACAUCAUUCGAUAAUUUGAAUAAAAAUUAUAAGCAAUAACAAUGUAAUUUUUAUUUUAUACGUACUAACGUUUUGAAACUAUAUAAAAUAUCUAUAUAAAGUAAAAAUAAAAAUAAACUUACUACUACGACGUUUUUUCAUCUUAGGAAUAUAAAUUUCAUCGGAAUUAUAAUCAUUAUUCAAAAUGGCAGACUUUUGUUGCGUUCGCCUUUUUGUUAUGUUAGUUUCAAAAAAUUUGCUUUCAGACUGCACUGACAAGGAUUCAUUUAUCUCACUCUUUUCAGAAUCGCUUUCUUCUCUUUCACUCGAGGAAUCUUUUACUGUCUCUUCUAUUAUUAAUAAUAUAGUAUUGUGAUAAUUGUUAUAUAGAUACCGAAUGCUUAUAAUAAAUGUACAAAAAAGGAUA